ACUCCUACGGGAGGCAGCAGUAAGGAAUAUUGGUCAAUGGAGGCAACUCUGAUCCAGCCAUGCCGCGUGCAGGAAGACGGCCCUAUGGGUUGUAAACUGCUUUUGUACCAGAGAAAACCCUCUUACGUGUAGGAGGUUGAUAGUAUGGUAAGAAUAAGCAUCGGCUAACUUCGUGCCAGCAGCCGCGGUAAU
rnacentral:rRNA from 1 species